GACAGAGGGUGCAAACGUUUGCUCGGAAUCACUGGGCGUAAAGGGCGUGUAGGCGGGAAGGAAAGUCAGAUGUGAAAUCCCUGGGCUCAACCCAGGAACUGCAUUUGAAACUCCCUUUCUUGAGUGUCGGAGAGGAAAGCGGAAUUCCUGGUGUAGAGGUGAAAUUCGUAGAUAUCAGGAGGAACACCGGUGGCGAAGGCGGCUUUCUGGACGACAACUGACGCUGAGACGCGAAAAGCGUGGGGGAGCAAACAGG
rnacentral:rRNA from 1 species